CUCAGCAUUGAAAUUCUCAAGGCUGCUGGUGAGCGAAGUGGCGGGUCACUUGAUGGAGUGGCAUUUCUCCUUCGUUCUGAUUUCUUAGGUGAUCCUGCUGCUUCUUAUGCUGUUGCAGACACCAUUGCUAGGUCUGACGAUGAGGCUGUUGCCCCUGAGCUUAGGGCUUUUCUUCAGGAGCACUGGUCAGAGGCGGCAUUUUUGGAUGGAUUAAGACAAGGUGAAGAACAUUAUAUGAAUCUUGUAAGGAUUUUGAAUUGGGGUGGAUCUCCUAUGUGCAUAAGGGAUCUGCCAGGCCCUCUCAAGGUGGCAAUUGCUUACUUGCCACUGUAUAGGGAGUGUGUUGCAGCAGGUGGUAGUUUAUUUUCACAAAGGCUACGAGGGCAGCUUGUUGAAGCUGUGAGAAGACUUGGGGGUGGGUCUUUAGAAGGGGUGGGUCAGGGCAAAGAGCUCUUGGCUAUUUUGGAGCAUCACCUUCCUCCAUUU
rnacentral:misc_RNA from 1 species